rnacentral:lncRNA from 1 species
AAAACCUUGGGACAGUUACAAAUAAAACUAAGAUGUAUGAAAAGGCUCUGAAGACAAUACCUACAUGUCGCAUGUAAAGUUUUUGGACAAUAUCAUAUCAUUAGGUGCUUUGGAAUUCAGACCAACUAAAAUGUAGAAACAUGGUAACUAGUCAGAUGUUGAAGAACUUAAUCCCAAUAAUGAAAAUUGGAGGCAUGUAUGUUGCCCCAAGUGAUAGUUCAUAAAUUUAAGAAAAA